rnacentral:rRNA from 1 species
AUGGAGCGAUUCCAGGGAGAGGUGGAUGUGUCAUGUGUGCCAGCGGGUUUCAAUGGAAAAGAGGCCGUGAGGGCAGCAACAAAAUGUAGCACUUGUGCCACUAAGGAGGAUAGCCUCCCGACAAAGCUAGCUGGCUUUCUUCCUUGGUACGAAGAAGAAGAAGUGGCGCCGCGAGGAGAGGCGGCGCCAACAGUCGUCAGCACCCUCCCACACCGCACCAUCACCGAGCUGUGUCACCGGCAUGGGCCAGUUAUGCUCCUCAAGCUCGGCAAGCUCCCUGCCAUGGUGGUCUCCAGCGCCGAGGCGGUGGCGCAGGUGAUGAAGACCAAUGACGCCGCGUGCUUCAACCGGCGGACAACCGGGUUGCAGGACAUCAUCGGCUUCGGCGGCCAGGGCAUCAUCUUCGCCGCCUACGGUGACCAUUGGCGCCAGAUGCGGAAGGUUUGCGUCAUGGAGCUUCUCAGCCCCAAGAAAGUGAGGCGCAUGGAGGGCAUCAGGACUGAGAAGGUGGACGACCUUGUCCGCUCCAUCGCGUCCUCGGCUGGCACCGCAACCAUCAACAUUAGCAAGAAGGUGGCAGCGCUCAGCAACGGCAUCGUGACGCGGGCCGUGUUCGGCGGCAAAUUCGUGUGGCAGGAGGAGUACCUCCGCCUGGUCGAUGAGAUCAUGGAUCUCAUGGGAGGCUUCUGCCUCGUCGACCUCUUCCCGUCAUCGUGGCUGGUACGGCGGCUGAGCAAAGGCGAGCGCCGGAUGAAGAGGAGCUGUGGAAGCGUCCUAUGCAUCAUCGCCGACAUCAUCAACAAGCGCAAGGCAGUGCGUCUGCCAGCAGCAGUGAUGGCUCCUGCAGCAACGAGGAUGAGUUUUAGUUCAAUUAACUUUCAUUCCAUGCAAAAAAGGAGUGCUGGUGAUUCUUUUAUCAUACUACUAGCACAAAUGCCCGUGCGUUGCAACGGGAGACAAAAACCUCACUUCACUAAUGCAAUGGCUCACGUCAAAGACAUGAUGACAUGA